UCAAAACGUGAUGGCUGCAUGUUCAUUUGUCAUGAAGUUUACAUUUGUAUACACUGGUUGGGAAGGUAGUGCACAUGAUUCGAGAAUUUUUUUACAAGCACUUACCACAACUACCGCUGAUUUUCCACACCCGCCACCUACCCCAUAUCGUGGCCAAAAAUACCAUUUGCAAGAGUUCAAUAGGCGGCGUCGCUAUCAUGGUCCAAAGGAGUUGUUCAACCAUAGACAUUCUUCUUUGAGGAAUGUUAUA